AGUGAACGCUGGCGGUAGGCCUAACACAUGCAAGUCGAACGGCAGCACAGUAAGAGCUUGCUCUUACGGGUGGCGAGUGGCGGACGGGUGAUGAAUACAUCGGUAUCUACUUUUUCGUGGGGGAUAACGUAGGUAAACUUACGCUAAUACCGCAUACGACCUACGGGUGAAAGCAGGGGAUCUUCGGACCUUGCGCGAUUGAAUGAGCCGAGGUCGGAUUAGCUAGUUGGCGGGGUAAAGGCCCACCAAGGCGACGAGCCGUAGCUGGUCUGAGAGGAUGGUCAGCCACACUGGAACUGAGGAACAGUCGAGACACCGACAGUGGGAAGCAGUGGAGAAUAUUAGGCGAUGCAGGCGAGCCUAAUCCAGCCAUACCGGGUGAAUGAAGAAGGCCCCCGGGUUGGUGAGCCCUUAAGUUGGGAGAGAAGAAAAGCACGUUAAUACCGGGCUAUUCUGACGGUACCAGAAGAAGAAGCACCGGCUAACUUCGUG
rnacentral:rRNA from 1 species